rnacentral:lncRNA from 1 species
AAUAAAAUAGAUCCAACAAAUUUAAAGUUCACAAAGAAACUAUCCUUGAUAAAUAUCAAUUCAUUAAUCCACAUAUAUCUGAAUUCAAUUUCUCUGUUUAUCUCAAUAGCUAUCCGUAACAACCUCUCCAUGAUACAUCCUUGCUCUAUAACAAAUUAUUCGUCCAUUUUAAUCCUUAUAUUAGUAGAACUUAUACAUAGUCAUAUUUUACAUCCUGUAAACAACAUUUGGAUAUCUCAUGUAAUCCACACAUUAG